rnacentral:rRNA from 1 species
AACGUAGGGGGCAAGCGUUGCCCGGAUUCACUGGGCGUAAAGCGGGUGUAGGCGGUCCGUUAAGUCAGAUGUGAAAUCCAGCGGCCCAACCGCUGAAUUGCAUCUGAUACUGAUGGACUUGAGGACGGUAGAGGUCGGUGGAAUUCCCGGUGUACCGGUGAAAUGGGCAGAUAUCGGGAGGAACACCAGUGGCGAAGGCGGCCGACUGGGCCGAUCCUGACGCUGAGACCCGAAAGCCAGGGUAGCGAACCGG